rnacentral:lncRNA from 1 species
AGAAAGGUGUCCUGCAAAUUAAUAGGAGUGGAAACAGUUGGCCUGUGAUCACUAAAUCCAGUAUUUAAAUAUGAAAAAUGCUUGGAAGACAGUGAACUGAAGAAUAUCCUUCAUCAUGUUUGGGCUUCUUAACUAAAACCUGAGUGUUUGAUAUUUUCCUCUUCAAGUAGUGGCUUAAAAAGGAGAUUGGGUGGGUGGGUGGAUGGGUGGGGGGGAUGACUUGAAAACACUCCCUGAAGACAGAAGAAACUUUCUUCCAUAAACUCAUGGACAAGACAAGGAUGACCUUGCUAUUCGCAGAGUUCUCAGUACCCUUUUCGGUAUCUGGAGGAUGCAUGAGGCAAUCCCGAAUGGUGAUCUUGCUUGCAUUCAGCUGGAGGGUGGGACUGACAAAGAAAUCUGUAUGAAUGGAGGUGACAAACGAAAUUUCAAUUAAUACCCCAUCCUGUUAAGUCUGUAGUAGAAGCCUUUAACAAAUCCACAGAAGUUUGGACAGGCAGAAAGGUCAGCAAUUGAAAUAAUCCAAUCAAGGUUGACACGUUCAUCUUGCUCAUAAUGUUGUCUUGGGAAUCUGCAGAAAAAUCAGCUGCGUUGUUAGCUGUAUAGUUCUAGUACCAACCAGUUCUUCCUUAGACUGGAAUUUUUAACUUCUGCUUGAGGAUACUUAAGGAUUUUUUUAGGGAUAUUAAACAACUGUUGGCAUAAUGUAUUAUGCAAAAAUAUAAUGCAACAUACAACAUAAUUUCUUGAGGCACACAGAAAGUUUACAAAGUCUUUUAAGGAGAAAGGUCUGGUCUUGCAUUCUAUAAUUGUGAAAUGUCCUGCACAAAAUAUCAUAAAAACUAAAAUGUCUGCUACCAUUAAAAAUCAAGUACACAGUUCUCUUUAGAGAGGAACACAGCUAUGCCAAAUGGCUUAAAUACUAUUCUAAAAAGUACUAGAGGCUCACUGUGAGAAGUGCAGUAGCUGAGUAGUGUUAUAGUAUUUCACCAAUAUCUGCUUUAUGUAGGAAAAUAAUUACAGCAAAUUGGGGUGAAAUUUGAGAGGAGACAAGUGAAAUUUUGAUGUCUAGUCAGGUCUUGACAGUCAGUGAAGAGACACUAAAUUCUUGCUCCUUUAAGUUGAAAUGGGAAUUUGAUUGGCAUGAUGCUAUUAUACGGAAAUCUGCCUUCACCCUUCCUCUUUGUUUGUGACCUAUAAAGAACUAUCUAGAAGUAUCCUAUGUGCUUGCUAUUAUGUUUUGCUGGGCAGGAGAAAGUUGCAUUUUUGAUGCAAUUCUCCCCUCCCCCCCUUUCCUAGUGCUUUGAGCCCGUAAGGAAAUUAGUUCAUAAAAAAAUGUUCAACUAAAGUAUAUCUCUGGCUUCUUCUUAAUUCCCUUUCAUAAAGGGACCAAUGGCAAAACUCUGC